rnacentral:rRNA from 1 species
GGGUUGUGAGGUUAAGCGACUAAGCGUACACGGUGGAUGCCCUGGCAGUCAGAGGCGAUGAAGGGCGUGCUAAUCUGCGAUAAGCGCCGGUAAGGUGAUAUGAACCGUUAUAACCGGCGAUACCCGAAUGGGGAAACCCAGUGUGAUUCGUCACACUAUCAUUAACUGAAUCCAUAGGUUAAUGAGGCGAACCGGGGGAACUGAAACAUCUAAGUACCCCGAGGAAAAGAAAUCAACCGAGAUUCCCCCAGUAGCGGCGAGCGAACGGGGAGGAGCCCAGAGCCUGAAUCAGCAUGUGUGUUAGUGGAAGCGUCUGGAAAGGCGCGCGAUACAGGGUGACAGCCCCGUACACAAAAGCGCAUGUGCUGUGAGCUCGAUGAGUAGGGCGGGACACGUGGUAUCCUGUCUGAAUAUGGGGGGACCAUCCUCCAAGGCUAAAUACUCCUGACUGACCGAUAGUGAACCAGUACCGUGAGGGAAAGGCGAAAAGAACCCCGGCGAGGGGAGUGAAAAAGAACCUGAAACCGUGUACGUACAAGCAGUGGGAGCACCCUUUGGGGUGUGACUGCGUACCUUUUGUAUAAUGGGUCAGCGACUUAUAUUCUGUAGCAAGGUUAACCGUAUAGGGGAGCCGGAGGGAAACCGAGUCUUAAUUGGGCGUUAAGUUGCAGGGUAUAGACCCGAAACCCGGUGAUCUAGCCAUGGGCAGGUUGAAGGUUGGGUAACACUAACUGGAGGACCGAACCGACUAAUGUUGAAAAAUUAGCGGAUGACCUGUGGCUGGGGGUGAAAGGCCAAUCAAACCGGGAGAUAGCUGGUUCUCCCCGAAAGCUAUUUAGGUAGCGCCUCGUGAAUUCAUCUCCGGGGGUAGAGCACUGUUUCGGCUAGGGGGCCAUCCCGGCUUACCAACCCGAUGCAAACUGCGAAUACCGGAGAAUGUUAUCACGGGAGACACACGGCGGGUGCUAACGUCCGUCGUGAAGAGGGAAACAACCCAGACCGCCAGCUAAGGUCCCAAAGUCAUGGUUAAGUGGGAAACGAUGUGGGAAGGCCCAGACAGCCAGGAUGUUGGCUUAGAAGCAGCCAUCAUUUAAAGAAAGCGUAAUAGCUCACUGGUCGAGUCGGCCUGCGCGGAAGAUGUAACGGGGCUAAACCAUGCACCGAAGCUGCGGCAGCGACGCUUAUGCGUUGUUGGGUAGGGGAGCGUUCUGUAAGCCUGUGAAGGUGGCCUGUGAGGGUUGCUGGAGGUAUCAGAAGUGCGAAUGCUGACAUAAGUAACGAUAAAGCGGGUGAAAAGCCCGCUCGCCGGAAGACCAAGGGUUCCUGUCCAACGUUAAUCGGGGCAGGGUGAGUCGACCCCUAAGGCGAGGCCGAAAGGCGUAGUCGAUGGGAAACGGGUUAAUAUUCCCGUACUUGGUGUUACUGCGAAGGGGGGACGGAGAAGGCUAUGUUGGCCGGGCGACGGUUGUCCCGGUUUAAGCGUGUAGGCUGGUUUUCCAGGCAAAUCCGGAAAAUCAAGGCUGAGGCGUGACGACGAGGCACUACGGUGCUGAAGCAACAAAUGCCCUGCUUCCAGGAAAAGCCUCUAAGCAUCAGGUAACAUCAAAUCGUACCCCAAACCGACACAGGUGGUCAGGUAGAGAAUACCAAGGCGCUUGA